UGUAAUUGAGACUACUGGAAAUAGAUUUACAAUCAAGGUAUGUAAAAACAGUAAAAUGUGUGUGUGUGUGUUUGUAAAAGGUUAUAAGAAGGCAUGGGAAUACUUUGGCCUAGGAUUAAAGGAUUGUUUUAAUUUAAAUUAGGAAAAGCUGAAAGUUCAAACAAGUGGAGGAAGCAUUGCGGAAAUUAAUCUUGCAGAAGAGGUUCUUUGUGUGAACAUAUUGACCAAAUUCAAAAAAGGGCUUUUGAUAACUUCAGAGAUGAUAACAUUGGAAUAAAGGAAAAUGUACAGGACUCAUGAAGAGCUGAAAUGUUCACAAAUAAGUCAAGGAAACUUAUUUUUAAGUAUUUAUGGCCUUAAAUAAUUAAGUAAAGUAUAUGCUCUCAUAAUCAAGAUUUGAAGCACGUUUGUUUCUCUCUGCCUGGUUCCUCUAGGAUUUGGACCCUACCUAAAAUCCAGGAAAGAAAUAUAAAACCACCGAUGGUCAUCAGACCUGUAAUGUGACUCUGAAACAAAACGCUGUAACAGUUUAUGUGCAAGUGGAGAAAUACACAGCUCAAAUCUGGAGAGCCAGCUCUGGAGGCCAUGCCAGAAUGAAAUAUCAAGCAGAAACUGAAUGGAGAAGAGAAAAAUGCAGCCCUGUCUGAGCAAGAGGGGAAUGCAGAUAAAUGCCACUCUCAGAGAGAAAGCAAAGGGGGAGAUAUGGACACCAUGUCUGAGACCUGGAGGAAUUGAAAUGAAGGUUAAAGAGGCUUUGAAAGAGACCAGAGCUAUCAGCCUGGGGAAAGCUUUGCUUCAGGAAAGUUAGUGGAAGCACAAAGCAUGUCAAGAAUUAAAACUAUCUCCAAAAUAAUUAUUCAGACAAUGGAUGCUAAAACCAAUGAGUUAAUAGGACAGUUAUACAAUCUCAAAGUGUCUCCCCAUAAGUUACAUAUUAAUUAGAAAGGAAAAAGUGCCUUUACAGUGGAGUGAUCUGAUAGCCACCACAGUAACCAAGUAAUCAACAUUUUCAUGACAAAUAAUGGGACACAAUUAGUGUGACAUGAUACUCUGGGAAGAUAUCACUUUUUUGGUAUUCCUGCCAAAAAUAGCUGACUUGAAUCUAAUCUUGGGAAAAUAAUUAAUAGUUACAAACUGAGGAACAUUCUCCAAAACAUUUGGCCUGUUCUCCUAAAAAAGAAAGUCAGCUUAAGAAAGACAAAGAAACUGUGCAUGAUUAAAGAAAACUUAAAAGGCAUAAAAUAAAUGCAGUUCAUGAUCCUGGACUGUAUUGUGGAUCAGAAAAAAAAAUCGUACAAAUUGUGAAUGGAGGCAUUGUAAAAAUUUUAAUAUGAAUUACAUCAAAUAAUAUGUUAUUAAACUUAAACUUGAAUUUAAUAAUUGUACAAAAUUAGGGAAUAUGAUUUCUUUGUUCUAAGUUUGAGAGAUGUGAGGUUACAAUGCCCACUAAUUAUUUCAGCUGGCUCAUAAAAAUUAUAAUAGUAUUAACAAUUUGUAAAUUUAGGUAAAAGUGUAUGCCGUUUCAAUGUUUUAGUCUUAUAAAUUUUUGGAUGGAAUAUUUUUAAAAAUUAAAGUUAAGCUAAGCACAGUGGCUCACGCCUGUA
rnacentral:lncRNA from 1 species